rnacentral:rRNA from 1 species
UACGUAGGGGGCGAGCGUUGUCCGGAAUCAUUGGGCGUAAAGCGCGUGUAGGUGGCUUCGUAAGUCUGGUGUGAAAUCUUGGGGCUCAACCCCAAGCGGUCACUGGAUACUGCGAGGAUUGAGUCCGGAAGAGGAGAGUGGAAUUCCUGGUGUAGCGGUGGAAUGCGCAGAUAUCAGGAGGAACACCCAUGGCGAAGGCAGCUCUCUGGUACGUGACUGACACUGAGACGCGAAAGCGUGGGGAGCGAACAGG